GACCACACCUGCCAAGAGAGUAAGAAACUUCAUGUUCUUCUCCUGCCGAGGAACGUCGAUCUGAAAGAGGUCAUAAAUCAACAGUUGCCUUAUGAGUACAUCGAGACCACUCCUCGAUGCAGACUCAUCAAGAAUCAGAGUUACAGUCUUGACUGUCCUGAGGCCACUAAAAUUCAGCCUGAGGAAGAAGAGUUCGACAUGGACUUUGGACCAAAUAUGAUCCCGUUUGAGAUCUCCUGCCUACAAACACAAAGACUGUGACUGUGACAGUCCAAGACCGAACACAGGAGUGUGUUUGGUCGCGUGAAGUUAAUCUGCCCGAUUCAAGAAUGGCGGAGGACAGAGUCCCAGCAGAGGACAGAGUCCCACAGCAGA